GGCCAGGUUGCAAAAUGAACCAGGACAGCCAAGUGAUGCAGCAACUAAUGAUGUGGAACAAUCUGAGGACAAUGCCAAUAAUCCUAUGGAUGCAAUUGAUCCACAGGUUUUGGAGGAACAUUUCCAGUUGGUUAAUAACUUCAUUCAAACAGAAAUGAAUAACCAACCAAGUGAAACUCAACAAAUUCAAGUGACAACCAUAUCACAGGUAAU